AUAAAGGAAGUUUGCAGCACCUAUGUUGGCACAGUAGAUUCAGAUGGACCAUCAUCUAAUUCUGUGUAUAAGGCUGAUCUGGAAAAGAAGCUGUCCUUAGAAAGACCAAGUUCUGAUGGAGAAGGUGUGGUAGAAAAUGGCAUAACCAAUGUUUGUAAUGGGAAAGAACAUGUAAAGAGGAAAAAGAGCUCAAAGGUGGACUCCAAAGGCACUGUUCCUAAAGUAACAGGGAAGAAGAUAACAAAGAUAAUUGGGCUAGGGAAAAAAAAGCCAUCUACGGAUGAACAGACCUCAUCUGCUGAAGAAGAUAUACCAAC